CAAUAGUCACUGUUUAAAGUUCAAACAUGCUCGACCCCGCUGCAGACAGGCAGGUCCUGAGUCGCACAGAACACAAGCGGAAUCGGCUCGCUGCACACAGGAAGGUCUGUGCACGCCCUACAGAGGUCCUGAGUCACGCGGAAGACACCGAAUCACCCCGCUGCAGACAGGCAGCCACCUGGUUCCACCCUACAAAGACGCAGAGGACACUAGACCACCAGACCAAGGUAUAUGUAACCCAUCAGUGAUCCCAGGAGCAUGAAGCUAGUAAAAGACACAUUUUUACUGCAUAAAACAUUAAAACUUUGUACAAUAAAAACAAGGACAAGGAAUCAAGAUGGUGGAAUGGUGAGAGGCCACAAAUUUCAGCCUUUCUGAGACUGAGAAUCCAGAUACUGGAAAAUAACAACUUGAGGAAGAAAAAAAGAGAAGCGGGUUGCUGGGAAUUGGGAAGGAACUGACAGGAAAAUUAAGAGCAACAGAGAAGUUCAAGAGACAGACCACAAUUCAUAGAAGGAAAAUGAAACAGUCUGGAUGCUCUCCCUGGCUCCUGGUUCUCAGCUCAAUGGGAGGGGAGCCUGGUUCUGCAGAAGCAAG
rnacentral:lncRNA from 1 species